GGCUCAGAUUGAACGCUGGCGGCAGGCCUAACACAUGCAAGUCGAGCGGUAGAGAGRWGCUUGCWYCUCUUGAGAGCGGCGGACGGGUGAGUAAUGCCUAGGAAUCUGCCUGGUAGUGGGGGAUAACGCUCGGAAACGGACGCUAAUACCGCAUACGUCCUACGGGAGAAAGCAGGGGACCUUCGGGCCUUGCGCUAUCAGAUGAGCCUAGGUCGGAUUAGCUAGUUGGUGAGGUAAUGGCUCACCAAGGCGACGAUCCGUAACUGGUCUGAGAGGAUGAUCAGUCACACUGGAACUGAGACACGGUCCAGACUCCUACGGGAGGCAGCAGUGGGGAAUAUUGGACAAUGGGCGAAAGCCUGAUCCAGCCAUGCCGCGUGUGUGAAGAAGGUCUUCGGAUUGUAAAGCACUUUAAGUUGGGAGGAAGGGCAUUAACCUAAUACGUUAGUGU
rnacentral:rRNA from 1 species